GAAGAGGAAGAGGAAGAAGAAAAAGAAGAAGAAGAAGAAGAAGAAGAAGAAGAAGAAGAAGAAGAAGAAGAAGAAGAAGAAGAAGAAGAAGAAGAAGAAGAGGAAGAAGAAGCAACUACCUACUCUUAAAUGAUACCAAGGACCAGUUAGUUUAAAUAAAUAACUAAAAGGCUUCCCUUCACAAGACAGGAAAACCACUGCUCUGUUUAGGUUCUGCCAGACUGGAAUCUUCAGAGGUCAGAUUAGGGUCAAGGGACGAAGAUAACUCAAGAGUCUGUAGUCAUGGCCAAACUGUAAGCUCCUCACCAAGCCCAGAGCCUUCUGGCUCCCUUUAAAAUAAGGUGUCAAUAGGGACCCCCACUUAUGCUACCCAUACAUUUGGGUGUGACUGUUGCGGUGAGCAUAGAGACAUCUGAAGACUAGCUGGGGAGGACAGAGUUCCUUACGGGUUGUGGUGCAGCUGUACAAGGGCUGGGACUUGUGUUGGCAUCCUUCCUCAGACCUUACACACCAUAUUCAAAUGGAAGGUUUCUGUGUUUCAGGAAGCUUCAUCCUUGCUGCCGUCUGUUUAAAUCCUUUCCUGACAUUUCUGAGACCCAGAGGCUCAAGUCCCAUCUCAAUGGGACUCCGGCACCGUUAGACGGCUCACAGUGUACCAGGUUAAGUCCUUCUGAUUCCUGAGGACCGUGGCUUGGUUACGGGCCAAAGUCCACCCUCAGGGGCCUGCUGGUCAGAGUUGGCACCGGUCAUCUGCUCUCUCCAUUGGCAAAGUCUCUUCUGGGAACUCAGCCCAGAGAAGAGAUCACUGGAGCCCUAUUUUCUCAGUGGUCUUUAACCGAAGAUUUUGACGUAAGAGCUCUGAGAGCAAAAGGCUGUUUUCUGAAACUCAGAUUUAUUUUUAAAAAAAAUCACCAGAGUGUCCCAGUCCCUUGCAAAUGCAGGUCCCAGGGGCAGAGGAUAUGGCUCAGUGAGUAAGAGCAGUUUCUGGGCAAGUGUGAGGAUCUGAGUUUGAAUCCCCAGCAUCUGUAAGAAAAACCUGGCAUGACUGUGCAUGUAACCCCAGCACUGUGGAUGUGCAGGCAUGUAACCCCAGCACUGUAGAUGUUCAUGCAUGUAACCCCAGCACUGUGGAUGUUCAUGCAUGUAACCCCAGCACUGUGGAUGUGCAUGCAUGUAAUCCCAGCACUGUGGAUGUGCAUGCAUGUAACCCCAGCACUGUGGAUGUGCAUGCAUGUAACCCCAGCACUGUGGAUGUGCAUGCAUGUAACCCCAGCACUGUGGGGGUACACGCAUGUAACCCUAGCACUGUGGAUGUGCAUGCAUGUAACCCCAGCACUGUGGGGGUGCACGCAUGUAACCCCAGCACUGUGGAGAUGGAAGUGGGGUGCUCUGACUAUCAGCUUAGCUCCAGGUUCAGUAAUAGACCUUGUCUCAAGGGAAUGAGACGGAGAGUCAAAGAGCAGGACACUCAGUGUCUUCCCCUAUCCUCAGUGCUUAUAUGCACACACACCCACACACAUGUGCACAUACACCCAUUACAUAGACACAAAUAUGGACCCCAAUAUUUUUAAAUGCAGGCUUCUGGACUCCUACCCACACAUGCAGAGCCAGAAUCUAUAAUGACAAGAGUCAGGCAUGAUAGUGCACGCCCAUAAUCUCAGCAAAGGCUGGAGAGUUCAAGGCCAACCUGAGCUAUGCAGUAGGACUUUUGUCUCAAAAUCCAAGGGCUGAGGAAUGGAGCUGUGUCUGUCUCACUUUCCUGCCCUGUAAAAGCCUUGGGUUUGAGCCCAACCAUGGGCCAUCACAGACACUCAAACAUAUGCAAAGACUCUCUCGGGUUAGAAGCAGCCUUAAAGGCUCACGGGUGAUUCCAGUUCACAGUACUUGUUGGGCUAAAAAUGAGGACCAAGAGUUUGGAGAGAGGGCACUUGCUGUACUGACUGGCCAUGUAAUACACAGGUUUGUCAGGGUUAUGGCUCUGCAGAUCCUAUGAAUUUGAGCUUUCGCUGACCAAAGUAGAGAAAGAAUUCAACUCAGGUGAUGGAGUCAACGUCCUCUUGGACCCUUUCUUUUGUUCAUACUGUCUGUCUCUCUGUGUCUCUGUCUCCCUCCCUCCACAGAGUCUCUGUCUGUAACGCAGACUGACCCUGACCUCACUGCCCUAGUGUCCCAGCUUCCCUAGGGUCGGGAUUACAGGACAUGCCCGCAUGCUGCCAGAUCCUUCCUAACUUCUGAGUCACAGGGUUAGGUCAUGGAGUCAACAGUGGAACAAGGAAGACUCAGCCCAGAGCCUGUAGAGCGGAGACGAGCUCCUGUCCGUCAGUCAGCAGAUGAAACUGUGGUCAGAAAACAGUGGGCUGAGAGAGCAGAGAAAGAUGCCCGUGCCCUGAGAGGGCAGCGGGAGGAGAAGGACCCCCUGCAGUAGGGGAGGGCACAUCUGGGAGUCAAAGCUGAAGUCCCGAAUGCCUUCGUCCCUCUCCUAGAAGAUACAAGCGAUACCAGACAGCAGAUGGCCUAGGUGUGGCCGCAGAGUAGGCCUGGGGCGGCCUUGGGUUUACAGUGGAGCUGAGAAAGCUGUCAGAAGGGCAGUCCGGUAACGAAGCAAUGAAUUCUGGUGUUGGGUUAUGAGGAGCCUAGCAGGGGAUUGGCCCAAAUCAGGCUUCUCUGUUUGUAUAAAGCCCCACAAUCAUGUGUACAAGAAUUGUUGAAAUAAAUGGAUACUUUCACAUUUUUAAAAUAAUUAAGCUGGGCGUGGUGCACACUUGCAGUCCCAGCUCUCCUGAGUAGGAAGAUUAUGGGCUUGUUAGUGGGCUCUCACUCCCCUUCCAUAGAUAGAUAUACAUGGAUACAUAUAUAUGGUACUAUAAAUAUAGCAUGCAUAUAUAUAGCAUGCAUGUGCACUCAAAACUCAAGAACUACGAAAGGCUUAAAGUGAAAGUGUACUCCACAUCCAUCCCAUGGUUCGCAUAUGUGCACACAGCGUGUCCAACCGCCACCCUGGGGCAAACGGUGGCACGUGUGUGGCUUCUUGUCCCCCAGUAUAUCUUAAAUAAUUGAUAGCUGCUACCAAAAAGUGUCUUUGACCCAACUCCCCUUUCCUUGAUGACAGAAUACACCAUCGCCCGAAUCUGCUGUGCUUUGUUAACCGGUUUCUUGCCAAUGGACCCAGAUUGGCUGUAGUGAGUAAGAAUUCACAAUAAGGGGUGGGGAUUUAGCUCAGUGGCAGAGCGCUUGCCUAGCAAGUGCAAGGCCCUGGGUUCGGUCCCCAGCUCCGAAAAAAAGAAAAAAAAAGAAUUCACAAUAAAUAUGUAGUGGGUAAUAAAGUCCCGAGGUAGCGAUGCUGGGUCAGAGGGCACCUACAUUAAAAUUUCUUCAGUGUGGCCAAAUGGCUUUUUACUCACACAUCACACACACACACAGUCACAAACACACACUCAUACAUACACACAUACAUACACACACACACACAUUCACACAGUCACACACACAUACAUACUCAUACAUACACACACAGUCACACACACAUACAUACUCAUACAUGCACACACACACACACACACACACACACACUCACACCCACUCUGUUUCCAAAGCCCCUUGCUAAAUGCUAUAUACUGUCAGAAAUCUGAUAAAUUGGAGCCUGUAUUGAUAAUAGUUCUAGUCUUCAGUUUGUCUUACAAUGAAUGGCGUCAGAUGGUUCUGUUUGAUCAUUUGGGUUUUCUGUAUGAGGCCUCUGGAUACCCUCUGCUCGUUUUCCUGGGUUAUUGAUCAAUUUCUCGGUGCUUUGUAAGAAGCCCUCCAUGCAUUAGGGCACCAGCCUUUUAAAAAUAACUUGUACGUAGUUUUGUAAUCAGUGGCUUCUCUUUUAACUGUGCUUAUGGCCUCUGCCCUGUAUACAUCUGUAGACAGUCAAAUUUAUCGGCUUUUCUAUGUGUUUCCUACAGUUUCUGUUAUGCUUUUAAAGUCCUUAAAAGGGAUUGGACCUGCUGAAUCUGCUAAGACAGCCAAACAACACCCUUUAGGCUCUGUGCAAUACAGAACUGAACUUCCAGAGAGAUGUUUGUGGAUGUCUGUCUGUCUGAAUUCAUUUGAGGAAGAAGGGUUCUGUGACUGCUGCCAAGAAGCCUCUGCAGAGUUCCAUGUGCAUCUUCACAGUGCCCAGCACCAGGGCUUUGCCCAAGAAGACCAUCCAUAUACAGAAGUAGAUCAGAUCAUCACCCAGCUCAGCCAUGACUUUACGGACACGGCCUCUGGAGCCAAGCUUCCCACGCUGUAGGGUCCCUGGCUUCUGACUGUGACCCACUCUAUCUUGAGACUCCACCCUCUAGCCAGCCAUCUCAUCUCAGAGCAGCAUCUCCCGGGAUGGAGAAGGAAAGGAGCAGACAGACUCCCAGGUAUCCCAGGGCAGAAUGGGACAGUGGACAGCAGAACGGCACCAGCUGAACCCGCAGAGGCUGGCGAGGUGCCUAGACCAGAAGCAAACAGUCAGGAUCUGGGGACAUCAGUCGGUGUGUUUGUCCCUCCUCCCUCCCCUACCAAAGUGACUUUGGACCAGCUCUGCCCUUAGGGACCUCUGCUCUGACCCAGACCUGGCACUCGCUGGCCAUGGCACUUGCUGGCCACAAGCGCAAGAUCUAGUUCCCUAGUGUUGGGAAGAAGCCAGGGGCUUUCUGGCCACACACCUCAUUUUUUUUGUCCCAUGAGCUUCUAGUCUCUGCAGUGCCAAGACAAAUGCUAGCAGACAUGGCUUCUCCUUUCCUCUUCCAUGCCCCAAGUCAAAACCCCUAGCCUCCUGUCUGCCCUUGGCCCACCCACAGAACUGCCUCUCCCUUCCUGACGCCCUUCUCUGGCAGCCCUCAGACAGAGCUGCUGAGUUUUAGACCAUCUAAUCCCCCAGGCCUCCGGGAAGAUGGCUCCUAGAACCUGAGUACUCUGGGCAGCCCCUGGCUCUAUUCCCCACAGGCCGGCCAGCUCCCCUGAUGCUGCUUCACAGUCUCGGACCAGCUGUCAGCCCAUGGGGACUCCACAGCAGGUGGGCCUGCAGAUGACCCCCCUGACUUCCCUUUCCCUUUUGCUCCCUCCCUCUGCUAGCCAGUCAGUAUAGAACCCCAUUGCUCCCACCGCUUUGUGGCCCCCAGCCUCUCCAUGCCUUGUCUCCCAGGUCCAGCCCCUGCUCAGAACACUGCCCCUAGGAAUUCCAGAGACAGAUAGAACCAGAUGCAGGGUCUACCUGGUCAGCUGCCCACUGACUAGAGCUAGCUGGGAUAGCAGGGAGACCAGAGCUUAAGCACCCCCAAAAAGCCAGUAGCCCCAGCCCUUGGGGGGUGCGACUAUAAUGCUAUCUGUGCGAUGCCAACACGCUGCCAAUCUGCCAGGUCCUGACUAAAGGAGUCUGGCCUGGGAAUGCCUUCCACCUCUGUCCACACAGGACACCAGACAGAACUCUGCAGUAGGCUUGUCCAGCCACAAGCAGCUACCCACAGAGAGGAGGUUGGCACGGGGUGGUGGGGUGCACAAAGAAGCUGGAGCAGUAGCCCAGCGACUACUCCACCCCACCCCCACCAAGCACUUGCCUCUUCUCAGAGACAAGGGAUAGUUGGUGUUGCCCACCCCCACGGCAGCCUCCCUUUCCACAGGCAUGUGGUCUCUCCUGCUCUCUGAAAGGGCUGUUUAUAUCCCCUCCCCCACCCCCACCCCCACGCUCACACAGAUCUUCGGGAACAUAUGAAGCAGAGGAGGGGCUUAGGCUGCGGUACUCCCAGCACACCCUCCCCCAUGCACUUAGCUGAAACCUGGCCUCGACCUUUCCCCCGGGCCCAGGAUGAAGCUGGGGGCCUCUGGGGAAUGCUCUCAUCUCUUCCCUGCACCCUAGUCAGUUGGAGCUUCCCACCCAGAGCACUGUUGUCCCGGGGUCAGUGUCUCACCUGCCAACUGUGCGUCACCCUCUUCCCUCCCUCCCCCCAGGACCUCCUCCCAUUUCUUACAGCCACGCCAUUAAUCUGGAGACACAAAUGGGUUUGCUAUUGAUUCCUUGGCCACUGUUUCUUAUUACAAUUUGUACUGUGGUCCUUCUCACCCUCUCUGCCUGUGUGUUUGUCUCUUUAAAUGCUGAAGCUGCCAGAAGUCUGGUGCUAUUCUGUCUCCUUUUGGAGGAAGAAAGGGGGGCCUACUGUGGGUGAGGGCCUAAGUUGUCAGUUUGGAAACAGAGCAACCGCGUGCCAAGCUCCUCGGAGGCCCUGUUCGGCCUUUUAAUGCCAUUUUCUUUAAGUUUUACAGUCUUGAUUGGGGACAUGUCAAUAAGAUUGUUAAUAACCUAGAGCGGAGAAGACCAGGCUGGAGUCCAGUGCGUUGGUGUCCAGGCUGCCCUUCAGUAACCGUAGACACAGGUCAGGGUCCAGUCAACCGCCAAGCACUCACUGGAGAGCAGCGUGCGCCCCUGCAAAGGAGGCUGCGUGAGCGCCUCGCCUGGGACCAGGAGCGGUCAAGACACCUGUUCCUGCCUUGUCCCCUCUUCCCUGUCCUGUCUGGCACUUUAAGCUGUUUAGUGAGCAGUCACCUACAGAGAGAAGCUUGUUGCCUGCUGUCAUGACUCCUGUCCAGUAGGUAUCAUUGCCCAAGUCCCUCUCUUCUUCCCCAGUGCCCAGGCAGUGACUUACUUCGGGACCCUCCUGGGGACAAUGCCUGUCUUCUUAUGGUCUAUGGGAAUACGUGUUCCCUGCCUGCUUCCCCAGGAUGACACCUCCCAGGGAGGGGGGAAGAACUUCCUUGUGCCUUCCUCAGACCCCGAUCUACACUACUUCACGCUUCACGGUAAGAGCCUGUGGAACUAGGUUCUGAUACCCUCACAUCUCAUGCUGCCAAGACCCACGCCCACCUCACGCCUGGUCCGUCCCAAGCGUGACCUUGAACACCUGUCAGGCCAAAAUCUCAGUCGCUUUAUCUGUUCCCACUUCCAGCCGUAGGUUUAGGUUAGAGGGGAGCCGUGAACACCAAGACCCAACUCGGACAGAUGGCUGCUGUCGGACGCAUUCAGGCCCCUUUGUGGCUCCUUGACCAGGGAGUCAAGUCCACUUUCCACAGACCCUUCUUCCCCAGCAGGUGACCUAGACUUGGAACCAGAUGCCACCAUGUCUGGCCACCAUCCACCUUCAUCACGUGUCACUUUAUGUCUCGCUUAGAAGAGAAGUGGCUUUCAGUGCUGUGCCCUCUGGCCUACCUAACACCUCUGUCAGUCUCCUGCUCCACCCUGCCACCUCUCCUAUGCUGCCAUUCUUGAGGCUGUUCUGUCCUGGAAGUGGGUUCAACAGCUUGAAUGAGACAACACCCCCUGGUCUUUGGUGACUUCCUGUAUCCACUUACCACCCCUGUCCUGAGCUUCAGGUGGCUUUGCCUGCAGCAUGGCACUGCAAUUGUCUAGUCCACGGUCAUCUGAGAGCUUGGUAAUGACCCAAGUCAGGUCCCCUUUCUCCCCACUUUAGCCUGGUCUCUCACCCUCUUCCUGAUCAUCGUCCACUGGCUUAUCCAUUCCAUCCGGGCCUUAGUUAGGUUCCUACUCUGUCAGCUCCCACUAUCUGGCCCUUUUCUCAUUGGAACUUCACUUCUUUUUUUUUUUUUUGGUUCUUUUUUUUGGAGCUGGGGACCGAACCCAGGGCCUUGCGCUUCCUAGGCAAGCGCUCUACCACUGAGCUAAAUCCCCAACCCCCGGAACUUCACUUCUGCUAUGUGACCUACACCAGUAAUUCUGCCCAACACAUUUUUUAUGUGCAUGUGCAUGUUCAUGUGUGGCUACACAUGUGUGUGCAGGUGCACAUAUGUGUACAUGUGGCAGAUGGAGAAUGACCUCAGACGUCAUCCGGAACAAUCACCUAUCUCCUUUGAAACAUGGUCUUAUUGGUCUAGAGAGCCCCGGGGUCCCAUCUCCUCACCAGUGCUGGUAUCACAAGCACAUGCCACCACCUUCCCGUAUCCUGCAGAACUCCAGAAUAAGGAGGGAUCUGCUGAGUGAGGAGGAUCUGGCUGAGACAAACCUGAUCGCUUAUUCCUCCACAUCUUGAGCUCCUGCUUCCUGACCUGCGUGAGUUCCAGUCCUGACUUCCUUUGGUGGUGAACAGCAAUGCGAAAAGUGUAAGCUGAAUAAACCCUUUCCUCCCCAA